CAAGGCUUGACAUAUAGAGGAAAAGUGCAGAGAUGCACUCCCCGUAAGGUCUCUAUACAGGUGGUGCAUGGUUGUCGUCAGCUCGUGUCGUGAGAUGUUGGGUUAAGUCCCGCAACGAGCGCAACCCUCGUCCUAUGUUGCCAGCACGUAAUGGUGGGAACUCAUGGGAUACUGCCGGGGUCAACUCGGAGGAAGGUGGGGAUGACGUCAAAUCAUCAUGCCCCUUAUGUCUUGGGCUUCACGCAUGCUACAAUGGCCGGUACAGAGGGCUGCAAUACCGUAAGGUGGAGCGAAUCCCAAAAAGCCGGUCUCAGUUCGGAUUGAGGUCUGCAACUCGACCUCAUGAAGUCGGAGUCGCUAGUAAUCGUAGAUCAGCAACGCUACGGUGAAUACGUUCCCGGGUCUGUACACACCGAAAUCUAGAGCAUCGGAAAAA
rnacentral:rRNA from 1 species